rnacentral:rRNA from 1 species
GCAAAACGCGAAGAACCUUACCAAGGCUUGACAUCCCCUUGACCGGCACAGAGAUGUGCCCUCUCCUUCGGGAGCAAGGGUGACAGGUGGUGCAUGGUUGUCGUCAGCUCGUGUCGUGAGAUGUUGGGUUAAGUCCCGCAACGAGCGCAACCCUUAUCCUUAGUUGCCAGCAUUUAAGGUGGGCACUCUAAGGAGACUGCCGAUGAUAAAUCGGAGGAAAGUGGGGAUGACGUCAAAUCAUCAUGCCCCUUAUGUCUUGGGCUACACACGUGCUACAAUGGUCGGUACAAAGGGGAGCGAAGGAGUGAUCUGGAGCAAAUCCCAAUAAACCGAUCUCAGUUCGGAUUGUAGGCUGCAACUCGCCUACAUGAAGUCGGAGUUGCUAGUAAUCGCGAAUCAGAACGUCGCGGUGAAUGCGUUCCCGGGUCUGUACACACCG